rnacentral:rRNA from 1 species
UACGGAGGGUGCAAGCGUUGUCCGGAUUCACUGGGUGUAAAGGGAGUGUAGGCGGAUUGGAUAGUCGAAGGUGAAAGUGAACGGCUUAACCGUGUCAAGUGCCUUCGAAACUUCCUCUCUUGAGUGUGUCAGGGGGUACUGGAAUUCCCGGUGUAGCGGUGGAAUGCGUAGAUAUCGGGAGGAACACCAGUGGCGAAGGCGGGUACCUGGGGCACAACUGACGCUGAGACUCGAAAGUGCGGGGA